rnacentral:rRNA from 1 species
UACGUAGGGUGCAAGCGUUAUCCGGAAUUAUUGGGCGUAAAGAGCUCGUAGGCGGUUUGUCGCGUCUGCUGUGAAAACCGGAGGCUCAACCUCCGGCCUGCAGUGGGUACGGGCAAACUAGAGUGCGGUAGGGGAGAUUGGAAUUCCUGGUGUAGCGGUGGAAUGCGCAGAUAUCAGGAGGAACACCGGUGGCGAAGGCGGAUCUCUGGGCCAUUACUGACGCUGAGGAGCGAAAGCGUGGGGAGCGAACAGG